rnacentral:snoRNA from 1 species
GCAAUUAUAAUUGAACAUAAGUUUUUCUGUAGUUCGCACAUAUAAUCUGUGCUAUCCACCACAGGCUACACCUUCAAUCUGGACGAUGAUGAGAAACUCAGUCCGAGGUACUAAUACUGCUUCCAACCUUCUAGACUUCAUGCUCGAAGCCAAUGUGCUUGACGAACGUUCCACCUUCCUACUUUGCUGGUUGUGAUGGAUGGAGAGUAUUCUGACAGGUA